GCUUAUACAAGGUAAGGCUUGAGGGAAACCAACUUUCGGGAAACAUAUCAGAAGAUUUUGGAAUAUACCUGAAUUUGAAUUAUAUUGACUUGAGCGACUACAAUUUCUACGGCGAACUCUCACCAAGAUGGGGAAAGCGUAAAAAUUUAACAAGUCUCAAAAUGUCCAACAAUAAUAUUUCUAGAGGGAUACCCCUUGCAUUGGUAGAGGCAACUCAACUUUCUUUACUUGAUCUCUCUUCAAAUCAUUUAGUGGGAGAGAUCCCAACAAAAUUCGAUAGUUUGGUUUCUUUGUUCGACCUUAAGUUGAAUGACAACCAACUAUCAGGUAAUAUUCCUCCAGAACUCGGCGGCCUUCCAAACUUAGUGACUCUAAAUUUGGCAGCUAACAAAUUAAGUGGCUCAAUCCCUCAAGAGCUAGGGGAUUGUAUGCAGCUAUUGAACUUGAGUUUGAGCAAUAAUAGACAUGGGGAAAACAUUCCUUUGGAACUAGGUCAACUCCAUGGCCUUGAAAGUCUUGAUUUUGGUGAUAACUUGUUGUCAAGUAAAAUACCCGAGCAGUUUGGAGCGCUACAAAGGUUGAAAACGCUAAAUCUCUCCCACAAUGAGCUCGAUGGUUUCUUACCAUCUUCUUUUGAUAGUAUGUUGGCUCUUUCAUCAGUUGAUAUAUCUAACAAUCAAAUGGAGGGCCCUCUUCCUCAUAUCAGAGCCUUUCAAGAGGCUCCAUUUGAGUCACUUCGAGGUAAUAAAGGUUUAUGUGGUAAUGCAACUGCUUUGAAGGCCUGCCAACUUCAUGGGGUUCCUAGAAAGAAGGAAAAGAAUUUGGUGUUACUGAUCUCUCUUCUCUCUUCUGGUUUUGGGAUUUCAAGUUCUUUCCCUCAUGGUUCUCGGACUUUGCUUGUCUUUUAGAAAGAAAAUCAAGAGCACAACAAAUGAGCCAAGCCAAUUAAAUAAUGGAAAUUUGUUUGCAAUAUGGAGUUAUGAUGGCAAGAUGGUGUACGAUAACAUCGUUGAAGUGACGGAGAACUUUAGUGUCAAAUAUUGCAUUGGGGAAGAAGGAUGUGGUACUGUUUAUAAAGCUACCAUGCCAAAUGGUCAAUUAGUUGCCGUGAAGAAACUUCACGCAUUAUCUAAUGGUGACUCAUUUAACCAAAAGGGCUUUACGAGUGAGAUCAAUACAUUAACAGAGAUAAGGCACCACAACAUCGUAAAGCUUUACGGAUUUUGUUUGCAUCCAAGACACUCGUUUUUGGUUUAUGAGUUCUUGCAAGGUGGAAGCUUGGCAAACGUACUUGCCUCGAAAAAAGAAGCAGAAAAUUUAGAUUGGAACAAAAGAGUGGAUGUUAUUAAGGGUUUGGCAGAUGCUCUAUCUUAUAUGCACCACGAUUGUUCGCCUCCAAUCAUCCAUCGCGACAUAUCGAGCAAGAAUUUUUUGUUUGAUUCGCAGUACGUGGCUCACAUCUCUAAUUUUGGGACGACCAAAUUUAUGAAGCCAGACUCUUCCAAUUGGACUUCAUUUGUAGGAACCUUCGUUUAUGCUGGUCCUGAACUUGCAUAUACAAUGGAAGUGAAUGAGAAGUGCGACAUUUACAGUUUUGGGGUGCUGGCACUAGAAGUGAUUAUUGGGGAGCAUCCACGUGAUCUCAUCUCAUCUCUAUCAUCAUCUUCGUCGCCGUCGUCGUCAUCAUCAAAAACUGGACAUGGGAUUUUAUUCAAGGAUGUGUUGGACCAACGCCUGCCGCCUCCUACAAAUCAAGUGGCAGAACAAAUAGUGGUUGCUGCAAAAGUAGCAUUUGCAUGUUUGAAUGCUAGACCGCUUUCUCGACCAACCAUGCAGCAAGUUGCUAGGACGAUGUCAAAUCCAAAGCCAUCUCUGCAAAAUCAGUUACACAUGAUUACAUUAGGAGAACUCGUUGGUGCCAACAGCUUCACUUCUUGAGUUUCCUUGGACUUAAGCUCUUGCACUCGUUUUGAAUGGAGGAAGCUUGGGACAUAUUCUCAGCUUGGAGGAAGAAGCAGUAGAGUCGUUAUAUUGGAUUAAGACAAUGGAUGUUGUUGAAGUGUGGCAAAUGUUGUCUUACAUGCACCGCAAUCGUUUUCUUCCAAUCACUCUUCGAGACUUGUCAAGGAAGAAUGUUUUGAUAGAUUCAAAGUACGUAGCUCACAUCUCUGAUUGCGGCACCGCGAAAGUCAUGAAGAGUGACCCAUCUAAUUGGACUUCAUUUGCAGGGACUUUUGGAUACGCUGCUCCACGUAGCUCAAAAGAGAUCAAGACAUUAAUUCUUCUGACCGUUGAGCCGUAUAAGAGAAAGCAUAGAGUAAAUGAGAUGAACGUUGGUCAUUUACAAUAGAAGACUUUGUGGGUUUUUACUCUUGGUUAUUUAAAGGAUAAGUCUUCAUCAGAGAGGUAGCCAGAUUGAUUGAGAAGAAAGAGCCUUCAAAGGAUUCAAUCAUUCAAACACUCAAAGAAUUCCAGUCUGAUAUAUACAUUGUAGUUUUAUCCUCUUCAGACUUCAGAGAGAGCAUUCACUGUAGAAUUUUAUACUCUCAUUUGUUUGAGCCUACACUUGUAAAUCACCCUUCCUUAGAGGGAUUGAUCAUCACCACACUUAUCCUACCUUGUGAGAGAGAGAACCCAAUCCACUGUGUUGCCAGUUAGGAUUUGAGUUUCUUGCUUGAUUUGAGAAGUGUGCGCUCACUAGGUGUGAGUGUGCCAAGAGUUUGAGGAAUUGGUCUGUGUGUAUCAGUUGGAAUUGUGAAAUCAGGUCUGCGUGUACCUGAUUUGUGGUCUGCGUGUACCACUGAGUCUGUGAAGCGUCAUGGUCUGUGUGUACCAGAAGAAGUAUUGUGAAGGAGUGUUGGCUCCUGUAAAAUCUAACCCUGUAGUAAGUUCUGAGAACAUAGUGGAUGCCAGUGAUUGUUCAAGGGAAACAAUCAUUGAAGAGUGGACUAAGCAAUUAGCCGAACCACUAUAAAAAUCCUCAGACUCUUCUCGUACUUAUU